UUGUGCUGUAUACCAGAAAUUGACACGUUGUAACUGACUGUACUUCAAUAAGAAAAAAUUAUAAACCAUUGCUGAUACAUUAUUAUUAACUUAAGUCCAUACUGUAUUCGGAUUUCCUUCAUUUUCAUCUAACCCCUCUUUUCUCCUCCAGGAUACCACAUUACAUUGGAUUGUCAUGUCUCCUCUGGCUCUUCUUGGCUCAGUAAAUGAGAGUUUGUGUUGCACCACAUCCCCACCAGCAUUUGGUGUUGUCAGUGUUCUGGAUUUUGGCCAUUCUAAUAGGACUUCCAGUACCGUGUUGAAUAGAAGUGGCAAGAGGAGGCAUCCUUGUCUUGUUCCUGAUCUUAGAGGAAAAACUCGGAGCUUUUCAUUGGUGAGUACGAUACUUGUGGGCAUGUUGUGAUGGCCUUUAUUAUGUUGAGGUAAUUUCCAUCUAUGCCUGGUUUAUUGAAUGUUUUUAUUAUGAAUAUUCAAGUUUUUCAGUUGCAUUUUCUGCAUCUGUUGAUAUGAUCAUAUAAUUUUUAUCUUCCG